rnacentral:tRNA from 1 species
GGUUAUAGCUCAGUGGUAAAGUACUUCCCUAGCAUUAGCAAAGCCCUGGGUUCAAUUCUCAGCACCA